rnacentral:rRNA from 2 species
UAGGGAAUAUUGGACAAUGGGCGCAAGCCUGAUCCAGCCAUGCCGCGUGAGUGAAGAAGGCCCUCGGGUUGUAAAGCUCUUUUGUCCGGAAAGAAAAGCACUGGGUUAAUACCCCGGUGUCCUGACGGUACCGGAAGAAUAAGCACCGGCUAACUUCGUGCCAGCAGCCGCGGUAAUACGAAGGGUGCAAGCGUUACUCGGAAUUACUGGGCGUAAAGCGUGCGUAGGUGGUUUGUUAAGUCUGAUGUGAAAGCCCUGGGCUCAACCUGGGAAUGGCAUUGGAUACUGGCAGGCUAGAGUGCGGUAGAGGGUAGUGGAAUUCCCGGUGUAGCAGUGAAAUGCGUAGAGAUCGGGAGGAACAUCUGUGGCGAAGGCGACUACCUGGACCAGCACUGACACUGAGGCACGAAAGCGUGGGGAGCAAACA